rnacentral:rRNA from 1 species
GUCUACGGCCACGCCACCCUGAAUGAGCCCGAUCUUGUCUGAUCUCGGAAGCUAAGCGGGGUCGGGCCUGGUUAGUACUUGGAUGGGAGACCACUUAGGAAUAUCAGGUGCUGUAGGCG